AGAGUUUGAUCAUGGCUCAGGACGAACGCUGGCGGCAUGCCUCAUACAUGCAAGUCGAACGAAGGCUUCGGCCUUAGUGGCGCACGGGUGAGUAGCGCGUGGGAACCUACCCUUUUGUGGGGGAUAACCGAGGGAAACUUCGGCUAAUACCGCAUACGCCGGGUGACCGGGAAAGAUUUAUCGCAGAAGGAUGGGCCCGCGUCGGAUUAGCUAGUUGGUGGGGUAAUGGCCUACCAAGGCAAUGAUCCGUAGCUGGUCUGAGAGGAUGAUCAGCCACACUGGGACUGAGACACGGCCCAGACUCCUACGGGAGGCAGCAGUAGGGAAUAUUGGACAAUGGGCGAAAGCCUGAUCCAGCAAUGCCGCGUGAGUGAGGAAGGCCUUAGGGUUGUAAAGCUCUUUCGGCGGGGACGAUGAUGACGGUACCCGCAGAAGAAGCCCCGGCUAACUUCGUGCCAGCAGCCGCGGUAAUACGAAGGGGGCGAGCGUUGUUCGGAAUUACUGGGCGUAAAGGGCGCGUAGGCGGCCAUCUUUGUCAGGCGUGAAAGCCCUGGGCUCAACCCAGGAAUUGCGCUUGGGACGGGUUGGCUUGAGUUCGGGAGAGGAGAGUGGAAUUCCCAGUGUAGAGGUGAAAUUCGUAGAUAUUGGGAAGAACACCGGUGGCGAAGGCGGCUCUCUGGACCGAUACUGACGCUGAGGCGCGAAAGCGUGGGGAGCAAACAGGAUUAGAUACCCCCGUAGUCC
rnacentral:rRNA from 1 species